CUUCAGCGACCCCAGGGCGAGCGGCAGGUCCGCGGGCCGGUCCUGCCCGUACGUGGCCAGGAUCGCCUGCGCCUC
rnacentral:antisense_RNA from 1 species